GUUUAUUUUUAUUUUAUAUAGGGAGAACCUAAGGAAGUAGUUAAACCUGUGCCCAUUACAUCUCCUGCUGUGUCCAAAGUCACUUCCACAACCAACAUGGCCUACAAUAAGGCACCACGGCCCUUUGGUUCUGUUUCUUCACCAAAAGUCACAUCCAUCCCAUCACCAUCGUCUGCCUUCACCCCAGCCCAUGCGACCACUUCAUCACAUGCUUCCCCUCCACCCAUGGCUGCUGUCACUCCUCCCCCAUUCGCUGCAUCUGGACUGCAUGUUAAUGCCAAUCUUAGUGCUGACCAGUGUUCAUCUGCACUGAGCACUGGUAAAACUGCAGUUAAUGUCCCACGGCAGCCCACAGUCACCAGCGUGUGUUCCGAGACUGCUCAGGAGCUAGCAGAGGGACAGAGAAGAGGAUCCCAGGGUGACAGUAAACAGCAAAAUGG